AGCCCCAGCUCCCGGAGUCAGGUGGAUGUGGGAUGAUUUCAGCCUUCAUUCUUACAGAAAAACCCCAGCUCCUGGAGUCAGGUGGAUGUGAGAUGAUUUCAGCCUUCAUUCUUACAGAAAAAAAACCAGCCGGAGCAGCAAUGUGUGUCUGUCGCUAGGCCUGGUGUGCUGGAUAGAGUUAGUAAUCACAGUUACCUGGACCCUUCUGAGCCUGUGGGGUUCCUUCAUAUUUCAUUUGUUGUGUGAAGAAGAGACAUAAUGCAGAGCUGAGCGCAUGCC